UACGUAGGGUGCAGGCGUUAAUCGGAAUUACUGGGCGUAAAGCGUGCGCAGGCGGUUUGCUAAGACAGGUGUGAAAUCCCCGGGAUUAACCUGGGAACUGCGCUUGUAACUGGCAAGCUAGAGUGUGGCAGAGGGGGGUGGAAUUCCACGUGUAGCAGUGAAAUGCGUAGAGAUGUGGAGGAACACCGAUGGCGAAGGCAGCCCCCUGGGCUAACACUGACGCUCAUGCACGAAAGCGUGGGGAGCAAACAGG
rnacentral:rRNA from 1 species